rnacentral:rRNA from 2 species
UCGAACGAACUCUGGUAUUGAUUGGUGCUUGCAUCAUGAUUUACAUUUGAGUGAGUGGCGAACUGGUGAGUAACACGUGGGAAACCUGCCCAGAAGCGGGGGAUAACACCUGGAAACAGAUGCUAAUACCGCAUAACAACUUGGACCGCAUGGUCCGAGUUUGAAAGAUGGGCUUCGGCUAUCACUUUUGGAUGGUCCCGCGGCGUAUUAGCUAGAUGGUGGGGUAACGGCUCACCAUGGCAAUGAUACGUAGCCGACCUGAGAGGGUAAUCGGCCACAUUGGGACUGAGACACGGCCCAAACUCCUAC